rnacentral:rRNA from 1 species
UGGGGAAUUUUGGACAAUGGGGGCAACCCUGAUCCAGCAAUGCCGCGUGUGUGAAGAAGGCCUUCGGGUUGUAAAGCACUUUUGUCCGGAAAGAAAACGCCGUGGUUAAUACCCGUGGCGGAUGACGGUACCGGAAGAAUAAGCACCGGCUAACUACGUGCCAGCAGCCGCGGUAAUACGUAGGGUGCAAGCGUUAAUCGGAAUUACUGGGCGUAAAGCGUGCGCAGGCGGUCCGCUAAGACAGAUGUGAAAUCCCCGGGCUUAACCUGGGAACUGCAUUUGUGACUGGCGGGCUAGAGUAUGGCAGAGGGGGGUAGAAUUCCACGUGUAGCAGUGAAAUGCGUAGAGAUGUGGAGGAAUACCGAUGGCGAAGGCAGCCCCCUGGGCCAAUACUGACGCUCGAAUGCACGAAAAGCGUGGGGAGCAAACAGGAAUUCGAUACCCUGGGAUAUCCACGCCC